CUCCUGGGAAAUCCUCGUGUUGCACCCC
rnacentral:rRNA from 1 species